AACGAACGCUGGCGGCAUGCCUAACACAUGCAAGUCGAACGAGACCUUCGGGUCUAGUGGCGCACGGGUGCGUAACGCGUGGGAACCUGCCCUUAGGUUCGGAAUAACUCCCCGAAAGGGGUGCUAAUACCGGAUAAUGUCUUCGGACCAAAGAUUUAUCGCCUUUGGAUGGGCCCGCGUUGGAUUAGCUAGUUGGUAGGGUAAAAGCCUACCAAGGCGACGAUCCAUAGCUGGUCUGAGAGGAUGAUCAGCCACGCUGGGACUGAGACACGGCCCAGACUCCUACGGGAGGCAGCAGUGGGGAAUAUUGGACAAUGGGCGAAAGCCUGAUCCAGCAAUGCCGCGUGAGUGAUGAAGGCCUUAGGGUUGUAAAGCUCUUUUACCCGGGAUGAUAAUGGCAGUACCGGGAGAAUAAGCUCCGGCUAACUCCGUG
rnacentral:rRNA from 1 species